GACGAACGCUGGCGGCGUGCUUAACACAUGCAAGUCGAACGAGAUCCAAUGUGUAGCAAUACACAGGAAGAUCUAGUGGCGAACGGGUGAGGAACACGUGAGAAACGUACCCCAGACUUUGGGAUAACAGUCCGAAAGGACUGCUAAUACCAAAUAACGUCGGAAGUCCGCAUGGACAUCUGACGAAAGGGAUUCCGGUUUGGGAGCGUCUCGCGGACCUAUCAGCUAGUUGGAGGGGUAACGGCCCACCAAGGCAACGACGGGUAGCUGGUCUGAGAGGAUGGGCAGCCACACUGGGACUGAGACACGGCCCAGACUCCUACGGGAGGCAUGAGUGGGGGAUCUUGCGCAAUGGGCGGAAGCCUGACGCAGCAACGCCGCGUGCGGGAAGAAGGCUUUCGGGCUGUAAACCGCUUUCAGUAGGAACGAAACUGACGGUACCUACAGAAGAAGGAGCGGCCAACUAUGUG
rnacentral:rRNA from 1 species